UACGAAGGGGACUAGCGUUGUUCGGAAUCACUGGGCGUAAAGCGCACGUAGGCGGCUAUGUCAGUCAGGGGUGAAAUCCCGGGGCUCAACCUCGGAACUGCCUUUGAUACAGCAUGUCUUGAGUCCGAUAGAGGUGGGUGGAAUUCCUAGUGUAGAGGUGAAAUUCGUAGAUAUUAGGAAGAACACCGGUGGCGAAGGCGGCCCACUGGAUCGGUACUGACGCUGAGGUGCGAAAGCGUGGGGAGCAAACAGG
rnacentral:rRNA from 1 species